GAUCUGCUGGCUCCGCUCUGCAUGGCCAGUGGCUCGCAGCCCGAUGCCACAGCAGUUACGAGCAAAUGCAGGGUUAAGAAGCUGAAGGACAAUGUAAGAACAAAAUGGGGGAAUGAAUAUUAUUGAAAAAAGAAUCAGAUGAUGCUACAAAUGUGAAAAAAAAGCUGUCCAAAAAUCUGUGCAAGGUGCUGCUGAUGGCAGAGCUGCAAGCUGGGAUCAUCACCCAGGACAAGGGCUUCUCUGCAUCAAGAAACGGUGAUUCCCGUGGGUACGUGCCUGCAUUAACAGGCUUGACAGACUUGGUGAAUGCCUUGUGUGAAUUGAGCAAGUCGGUCAGCCAUCGCAGCAUGCUCACCAAGCCCGUAAUGGGCGAGACUAAUGCUGAGCUUGCUUAAGCAUGAGCUUAUCUGAACCUGCUUGUGGCUGAGUUGUGUUGCCAGCACCUGAGUGGCUGUGGGAGCUGCUCAGCGCUCGCUGCCUGGUCCCCAGUGCAGGGUUGAUCCCCCGGCUGCAGCAGUGCCAUGAAGCCCCUGUGGAAACCACAGCAGCUUGAAACACUGUGGUGCCCAGAGGAGGUGAACCUCAAGUGGCACAUGGGAACCAGUGAGCCAUCAUGUGCUACUGUUGCCUCCAUAUCUUUUAGUUGGCAUCAUUAGCUGGAAGCUGCAACUGUUUGCAGUAGCUGGUUUUGCUCCUUCAUCUAGAUAAGCAUGAAGUUAUGAUGCUCAGAUAAGGCUUCUUCGCUGGUGUGAGUACAUAACGCAGCAUGGAUGUGGUGCAGUAGCUUGUGCUUCUCCAGCCUGCCAGGCUCACGACAAUGGAAAUUUCUGAAAACCAGGAACAGACUUCAUUUCCUAGACCAUCUUUCCCCUGAAGACAGCAAUAUUGGCUGCUCGAAGCCACCUGCACUCCUCUGCCAGGGCAGGUCCCAGGGGUGACGGAGGACUCGGUGGAGCAGCGCUGCAGGGCGCAGGUAGCUCCGGGUGCUUCGGGGUAGGGAGCCCUCUGCCACCCCAUCCCCCCAUCCCCUCCUGUCCUGAGGUGACAAGAAGCGAGGGUUGUCCGA